rnacentral:pre_miRNA from 1 species
UGUGGGGGGGGGGGUCCCUCAGUCCAGAUUGCAAGAAGGUGUAGGCCAGGCCAAGGGACCCCAUCAGUGCAUG